UGGCUCUCUCGUCGUGCAUUCACUUGGUCGAUGAGUUCGUCACUGCCGUCGAGGAACAUGUUAGUGAACUCGUGUCCCGGCCGUUAAGCUUGUUACUAAUAAGUUUAGGUUCAGUAGAAUAUGUAAUUUUGUUCCUUCUGCAGGAGCUUCUUGCAGCUGUGGACAGGAUGCUGUUGGCUAAUGCGGCUGACUUGUGCCACUCAACUGCUCACUUUUGUGUUGCAACCGCUUUCUCACACUGCUGACUUGUGCCACUUCCGCUCAUGGAAUUGAUCCAGCUAAAAGUGCUCCUCUCAUGUCUAUUUCUAUCUAGGAAGUCAGACCUGAAUUUAACCAGAUGACCUACAAUAUCUAGCAACUCAAACCAUCGAGUCAUAUUAGAGUAAUUUUUUAAUACAGUCAUAAAGCUAUCCAUUAUGACAUGCAAUUUUAUUAUUCUCAUUAGAGGUUAACUAAGUAUAUUUUUUCAGGCACCUAGACAAAUUCUGGAAGGAGCGGCAUGUCUGGGAACGGAACGAAAUAAGUUCAG
rnacentral:lncRNA from 1 species